UACGUAGGGGGCAAGCGUUGUCCGGAAUCAUUGGGCGUAAAGCGCGUGUAGGCGGUCCGGUAAGUCCGCUGUGAAAGUCGGGGGCUCAACCCUCGAAUGCCGGUGGAUACUGUCGGGCUUGAGUACGGAAGAGGCGAGUGGAAUUCCUGGUGUAGCGGUGAAAUGCGCAGAUAUCAGGAGGAACACCAAUUGCGAAGGCAGCUCGCUGGGACGUUACUGACGCUGAGACGCGAAAGCGUGGGGAGCAAACAGG
rnacentral:rRNA from 1 species